CCUACGGGCGGCAGCAGUGAGGAAUAUUGGUCAAUGGGCGCUAGCCUUAACCAGCCAAGUAGCGUGAAGGAUGACGGCCCUAUGGAUUGUAAACCUCUUUUGUCGGGGAGUAAAAUACACUACGUGUGCUGUUCUGCAAGUACCCUAUGAAAAAGCAUCGGCUAACUCCGUGCCAGCAGCCGCGGUAAUACGGAGGAUGCGAGCGUUAUCCGGAUUUAUUGGGUUUAAAGGGUGCGCAGGCGGUAGAUUAAGUCAGCGGUAAAAUUGAGAGGCUCAACCUCUUCGUGCAGUUGAAACUGGUUUCCUUGAGUGAGGGAGAGGUAGGCGGAAUUCGUGGUGUAGCGGUGAAAUGCAUAGAUAUCACGAAGAACUCCGAUUGCGAAGGCAGCAUACUGGCGCUCAACUGACGCUGAUGCACGAAAGUGUGGGUAUCGAACAGGAUUAGAUACCCUAGUAGUC
rnacentral:rRNA from 1 species